rnacentral:rRNA from 1 species
CGGCAUGCAUUGGAAACUGUUAACCUAGAGUUUGGUAGAGAGUUCUGGAACUCCAUGUGGAGCGGUGGAAUGCGUAGAUAUAUGGAAGAACACCAGUUGCGAAGGCGAGAACUUGGGCCACAACUGACGCUUAGGCUCGAAAGUGUGGGGAGCAAAUAGGAUUAGAUACCCUAGUAGUCCACACCGUAAACGAUGGGUGUUAAACGUCGGGAUUUAAUCUCGGUGUUGUAGUUAACACAUUAAACACCCUGCCUGGGUAGUACAUUCGCAAGAAUGAAACUCAAACGGAAUUGACGGGGACCCGCACAAGUGGUGGAGCAUGUUGUUUAAUUCGACGAUACACGUAGAACCUUACCUAGACUUGACAUCCUUGGCGAAGUUAUAGAAAUAUAAUGGAGGUUAACCGAGAGACAGGUGGUGCAUGGUUGUCGUCAGCUCGUGUCGUGAGAUGUUGGGUUAAGUCCCGCAACGAGCGCAACCCUUAUCGUUAGUUAUUUUGUCUAACGAGACUGCCAACGCAAGUUGGAGGAAGGUGGGGAUGACGUCAAAUCAUCAUGCCCCUUAUGUCUAGGGCCACAAACGUGCUACAAUGGUCGGUACAAACAGUCGCUAAUUCGUAAGAUAGAGCUAAUCUGUAAAGCCGAUCUCAGUUCGGAUAGAGGGCUGAAAUUCGCCCUCUUGAAGUUGGAAUCACUAGUAAUCGCGAAUCAGCCAUGUCGCGGUGAAUACGUUCUCGGGUCUUGUACACACCGCCCGU